ACGGAAGGCAGCAGUGGGGAAUAUUGCACAAUGGGGGAAACCCUGAUGCAGCGACGCCGCGUGAGUGAGGAAGUAUUUCGGUAUGUAAAGCUCUAUCAGCAGGAAAGAAAAUGACGGUACCUGACUAAGAAGCCCCGGCUAACUACGUGCCAGCAGCCGCGGUAAUACGUAGGGGGCAAGCGUUAUCCGGAUUUACUGGGUGUAAAGGGAGCGUAGACGGCAUAGCAAGUCUGAAGUGAAAGCCCGGGGCUCAACCCCGGAACUGCUUUGGAAACUGUCAAGCUAGAGUGCAGGAGAGGUAAGUGGAAUUCCUAGUGUAGCGGUGAAAUGCGUAGAUAUUAGGAGGAACAUCAGUGGCGAAGGCGGCUUUCUGGACGGUAACUGACGCUGAGGCGCGAAAGCGUGGGUAGCAAACAGGAUUAGAUACCCUGGUA
rnacentral:rRNA from 1 species